GAUGAACGCUGGCGGCGUGCCUAAUACAUGCCAGUCGAGCGAACAGACGAGGAGCUUGCUCCUCUGACGUUAGCGGCGGACGGGUGAGUAACACGUGGAUAACCUACCUAUAAGACUGGGAUAACUUCGGGAAACCGGAGCUAAUACCGGAUAAUAUAUUGAACCGCAUGGUUCAAUAGUGAAAGACGGUUUUGCUGUCACUUAUAGAUGGAUCCGCGCCGCAUUAGCUAGUUGGUAAGGUAACGGCUUACCAAGGCAACGAUGCGUAGCCGACCGGAGAGGGUGGUCGGCCACACUGGAACUGAGCCACGGUCCAGACUCCUACGGGAGGCAGCAGUAGGGAAUCUUCCGCAAUGGGCGAAAGCUUGACGGAGCAACGCCGCGUGAGUGAUGAAGGUCUUCGGAUCGUAAAACUCUGUUAUUAGGGAAGAACAAAUGUGUAAGUAACUAUGCACGUCUUGACGGUACCUAAUCAGAAAGCCACGGCUAACUACGUG
rnacentral:rRNA from 1 species